UUUCAGCAGUGAGGAAGGUGGGUAUGUUAAUAGCAUAUCAUUUUGACGUUAGCUGCAGAAGAAGCACCGGCUAACUCCGUGCCAGCAGCCGCGGUAAUACGGAGGGUGCGAGCGUUAAUCGGAAUUACUGGGCGUAAAGCGCAUGCAGGUGGUUUGUUAAGUCAGAUGUGAAAGCCCGGGGCUCAACCUCGGAAUUGCAUUUGAAACUGGCAAACUAGAGUACUGUAGAGGGGGUAGAAUUUCAGGUGUAGCGGUGAAAUGCGUAGAGAUCUGAAGGAAUACCGGUGGCGAAGGCGGCCCCCUGGACAGAUACUGACACUCAGAUGCGAAAGCGUGGGGAGCAAACAGGAUUAGAUACCCUGGUAG
rnacentral:rRNA from 1 species